AAUAGACUACGUCAGAUAUGGUA
rnacentral:siRNA from 1 species